AUAACUCUGGGACCGUCAAUCUAUCGAGAAACUUCAUCCGUUUGGUGGAAGAUCUUCCCUUUGUUAU
rnacentral:pre_miRNA from 1 species